CUAAGGAGCACUUCUGCACGACGCUUCACACAGGUGAAAGUGGUUGUGCCAGAGACCGUUUGUGUCCCCGUCAGUGGGACCGCGGAAGCUCAUGGGUGGAACGCUGGCAAGUUUCAUCGCACCGAGGUGCUGGCUCUGUCCGGGACCGCGGUGAAUAUAUCGACACACUGUUGGGUCCUGAAAGAACAGACGUUCUUUCCAGGCAAAAAAUACGAUCCGCUCAGAUCUUCUGAGAUACCGGCCUUCUUCGAGGGUGCUGGUCCUGAAAUUCCGGUUUGGGUGGGUGUGUUGUUUGAGAACUGCACAGUGGACGCGAGCAUCUUUGUUAGUAAGUGUGUAAGAGCGUAC
rnacentral:misc_RNA from 1 species